CUUGGCUUUGAAGAGGAGCUGGCACUAGUGGCUUUGUGUGUUGUGCUGCUAGUUAUACUACAGGGAGCUGAGCGGAAAGCUUGGGCAAGCUGGGAGAUCACGACAUGAAUACAGUGACAUAUGAUGAUGUGCAUGUUGACUUCACUUGGGAAGAAUGGAGUUUGUUGGAUACUUCCCAGAAGAAUCUCUACAAAGAUGUGAUGCUGGAGACCUACGGAAACCUUACUACUAUAGGAUAUAAUUGGGAAGACCAUAAUAUUAAAGAACAUUGGCAAAGUACUAGAAGACAUAAAAGGUAAUUUUCAAUGUAUAAGUUGAGAGGAAUGUACCUUUGAAGAAUUUGCAGUUUCCUAAAUGUUUUAAAA